rnacentral:siRNA from 1 species
UCCAACUCUAGGAUUUAUUUCACA